rnacentral:rRNA from 1 species
GAUGAACGCUGGCGGCGUGCCUAAUACAUGCAAGUCGAGCGAAUGACGAGGAGCUUGCUCCUCUGAUUUAGCGGCGGACGGGUGAGUAACACGUGGGUAACCUGCCUGUAAGACGGGGAUAACUCCGGGAAACCGGAGCUAAUACCGGAUGAUAACGAGAAGCGCAUGCGUCUGUUUUGAAAGGCGGUUUCGGCGGAGUCUUACAGAGGGGCCCGAGGCGCAUUAGCUAGUUGGUGAGGGAACGGCUCACCAAGGCGACGUUGCGUAGCCGACCUGGGAGGGUGAUCGGCCACACUGGGACUGAGACACGGCCCAGACUCCUACGGGAGGCAGCAGUAGGGAAUCUUCGGCAAUGGACGAAAGUCUGACCGAGCAACGCCGCGUGAGCGAUGAAGGCCUUCGGGUCGUAAAGCUCUGUUGUCAGAGAAGAGCAAGUACCGGAGUAACUGCCGGUACCUUGACGGUACCUGACCAGAAAGCCACGGCUAACUACGUGCCAGCAGCCGCAGUAA